UUGUUCGGAAUCACUGGGCGUAAAGCGCACGUAGGCGGUUAUGUCAGUCAGGGGUGAAAUCCCGGGGCUCAACCUCGGAACUGCCUUUGAUACAGCAUAUCUUGAGUCCGAUAGAGGUGGGUGGAAUUCCUAGUGUAGAGGUGAAAUUCGUAGAUAUUAGGAAGAACACCGGUGGCGAAGGCGGCCCACUGGAUCGGUACUGACGCUGAGGUGCGAAAGCGUGGGGAGCAAACAGG
rnacentral:rRNA from 1 species